CGACGCCUACGGGAGGCAGCAGUGGGGAAUAUUGCACAAUGGGGGGAACCCUGAUGCAGCGACGCCGCGUGAGUGAAGAAGUAUUUCGGUAUGUAAAGCUCUCUCAGCAGGGAAGAAAAUGACGGUACCUGACUAAGAAGCCCAGGCUAACUACGUGCCAGCAGCCGAGGUAAUACGUAGGGAGCAAGCGUUAUCCGGAUUUACUGGGUGUAAAGGGAGCGUAGACGGCGAUGCAAGUCAGAAGUGAAAGC
rnacentral:rRNA from 1 species